GUCUGAAAAGAAACAAAACAGAACAAAACACUUCUCACUUGUUAGAUGACUUGUCUCCUUUCCAUGCUUUCAGUUGUGAUAAAUAAAAUGAUUUGC